rnacentral:rRNA from 1 species
UAGGGAAUCUUCCACAAUGGACGAAAGUCUGAUGGAGCAACGCCGCGUGAGUGAAGAAGGGUUUCGGCUCGUAAAACUCUGUUGUUAAAGAAGAACAUAUCUGAGAGUAACUGUUCAGGUAUUGACGGUAUUUAACCAGAAAGCCACGGCUAACUACGUCGCG